rnacentral:rRNA from 1 species
AUUGAACGCUGGCGGCAUGCUUUACACAUGCAAGUCGAACGGUAACAGGUCUUCGGAUGCUGACGAGUGGCGAACGGGUGAGUAAUGCAUCGGAACGUGCCCAGUCGUGGGGGAUAACGCAGCGAAAGCUGUGCUAAUACCGCAUACGAUCUAUGGAUGAAAGCGGGGGACCGUAAGGCCUCGCGCGAUUGGAGCGGCCGAUGUCAGAUUAGGUAGUUGGUGGGGUAAAGGCCCACCAAGCCAACGAUCUGUAGCUGGUCUGAGAGGACGACCAGCCACACUGGGACUGAAACACGGCCCAGACUCCUACGGGAGGCAGCAGUGGGGAAUUUUGGACAAUGGGCGCAAGCCUGAUCCAGCAAUGCCGCGUGCAGGAAGAAGGCCUUCGGGUUGUAAACUGCUUUUGUACGGAACGAAACGGUCUGGGUUAAUACCCUGGGCUAAUGACGGUACCGUAAGAAUAAGCACCGGCUAACUACGUGCCAGCCGCCGCAGUAAAAC